rnacentral:rRNA from 1 species
UACGUAGGGGGGCAAGCGUUGUCCGGAUUUAUUGGGCGUAAAGAGCUCGUGGGCGGUUUGGUAAGUCUGGUGUGAAAUCUCCACGCUCAACGUGGAGGGGCCACCCGAUACUGCCAUGACUGGAGUCCGGUAGAGGAGUGUGGAAUUCCCGGUGUAGCGGUGAAAUGCGCAGAUAUCAGGAAGAACACCCGUGGCGAAGGCGGCUCUCUGGGACGGUACUGACGCUGAGACGCGAAAGCGUGGGGAGCGAACAGG